UGGGGAAUUUUGGACAAUGGGGGAAACCCUGAUCCAGCCAUCCCGCGUGUGCGAUGAAGGCCUUCGGGUUGUAAAGCACUUUUGGCAGGAAAGAAACGUCGCGGGUUAAUACCCCGCGAAACUGACGGUACCUGCAGAAUAAGCACCGGCUAACUACGUGCCAGCAGCCGCGGUAAUACGUAGGGUGCAAGCGUUAAUCGGAAUUACUGGGCGUAAAGCGUGCGCAGGCGGUUCGGAAAGAAAGAUGUGAAAUCCCAGAGCUUAACUUUGGAACUGCAUUUUUAACUACCGGGCUAGAGUGUGUCAGAGGGAGGUGGAAUUCCGCGUGUAGCAGUGAAAUGCGUAGAUAUGCGGAGGAACACCGAUGGCGAAGGCAGCCUCCUGGGAUAACACUGACGCUCAUGCACGAAAGCGUGGGGAGCAAACAGGAUUAGAUACCCUGGUAGUCCACGCCCUAAACGAUGUCAACUAACUGUUGGGGCCUUCGGGCCUUGGUAGCGCAGCUAACGCGUGAAGUUGACCGCCUGGGGAGUACGGUCGCAAGAUUAAAACUUAAAGGAAUUG
rnacentral:rRNA from 1 species